GAUAGCUGAAGAAGUGAGUGAAGAGAGUCGAGAGUUACUUAGACAAGCUUUUGAAGAGGCAGCUAUUGAAAUGCAACGUAAGCUAGACCUAGUUCAGGAAAUACGAGCAAUGGAAGCAGCGCCCAAGAACACUAAGAAGUUCAUUGAUUGGACAAGUACUGCCGGCCAUGCAUUACUAAGUGAGAUGUCAAUAGCUGAGCUGAAAGAGAGACUUUCGUUGAUGAAGGCCAAAC